rnacentral:rRNA from 1 species
AGGAGUGAGAGAUAGCGAACGGGGGAAUCCGAGGCCCCGUAAGCGGAAUGAGGUACUCGAAAUCCUUAUGCGAGUAUCAAUUGGAGGGCAAGUCGGGUGCCAGCAGCCGCGGUAAUUCCAGCUCCAAUAGCGUAUAUUAAAGUUGUUGCGGUUAAAAAGCUCGUAGUUGGAUCUGUGUCCCGCACCGUCGGUUCACCGCCUGUCGGUGUUCAACUGGCGUGUAUGCGGGACGUCCUGCCGGUGGUGGUCCGGUUGCCCGCGGGUUCGUAGGGGUCGUCCUUGCUUUGCUCGCGUCGAUCCCGAAGGCCUUCGGUGUUUUCCGGCCGCCUUUUCGAUCCCGUCGCGGUGCUCUUUACCGAGUGUCGAGGCGGGCCGGCACGUUUACUUUGAACAAAUUAGAGUGCUUUAAGCAGGGCCCUGUCCCGCCUGUAUGUUGUGUGCAUGGAAUAAUGGAAUAGGACCUCGGUUCUAUUUUGUUGGUUUUCGGAAUCUGAGGUAAUGAUCAAUGGGGACAGGCGGGGGCAUUCGUAUUGCGACGUUAGAGGUGAAAUUCUUGGAUCGUCGCAAGACGGACCGAAGCGAAAGCAUUUGCCAAGUAUGUUCUCGUCGAUCAAGAACGAAAGUUAGAGGUUCGAAGGCGAUCAGAUACCGCCCUAGUUCUAACCAUAAACUAUGCCUGCCAGCGAUCCGCCGAAGUUCCUCCGAUGACUCGGCGGGCAGCUUCCGGGAAACCAGAGCUUUUGGGUUCCGGGGGAAGUAUGGUUGCAAAGCUGAAACUUAAAGGAAUUGACGGAAGGGCACCACCAGGAGUGGAGCCUGCGGCUUAAUUUGACUCAACACGGGAAAACUCACCAGGGCCCGGACACCGGAAGGAUUGACAGAUUGAGAGCUCUUUCUUGAUUCGGUGGGUGGUGGUGCAUGGCCGUUCUUAGUUGGUGGAGCGAUUUGUCUGGUUAAUUCCGAUAACGAACGAGACUCUAGCCUACUAACUAGGCGUACCCGGUAUCCACAAUCGUGCUACCGGCGAUCAAAUUUCUUCUUAGAGGGACAGGCGGCUUCUAGCCGCACGAGACUGAGCAAUAACAGGUCUGCGAUGCCCUCAGAUGUCCUGGGCCGCACGCGCGCUACACUGAAGGAAUCAGCGUGUCUUCCCUGUCCGAAAGGACCGGGUCACCCGCUGAACCUCCUUUGUCCUACGGAU